GUGCGCAGGCGCAGUCUGCGCAGGGACUGGCGGGACUGCGCGGAGGCGACUGCAGACGUAUCGGGGGUCCGGAGCCUGUCGCGGCUGCUAAGCGCUCGGCGCCUGGCGCUGGCGCUGGCCAAGGCUUGUUGCAAACAGGAACCCGAGGUGUUCACUUCACUGUUGAAGGAACGAGAGGGCAUCUGCUAAAGUUUCAGAUUCCAUUUCUGCUCAGUAUCCAGUAGUGGAUCAUGAAUUUGAUGCAGUGGUGGUAGGCGCUGGAGGGGCAGGCUUUGCGAGCUGCAUUUGGCCUUUCCGAGGCAGAGUUUGAUACAGCAUGUGUUACCAAGCUGUUUCCUACCAGGUCACACACUGUUGCAGCGCAGUCUCUGAGAUAUGAUACCAGCUGUUUUGUGGAGUAUUUUGCCUUGGAUCUCCUGAUAGAGAACAGGGAGUGCCGUGGUGUCAUUGCACUGUGCAUAGAGGACGGGUCCAUCCAUCACAUAAGAGCAAAGAACACUGUUGUUGCCACAGGAGUCAAGAAACUUUUCUUUUGAGCUAUUGACAGCUUUUAACAAGUUAUUAUACUCCUAUGAACAAAAUUUGGAGCAUAUUUGUUUCUCUCUGCCUGAUUUCUCCUGAAUUUGGAAACUAUUUGACAUGAGGAUUCUCAACCUGAUAAAAAUGAGCUUUCCUAAUAACUCAAGACCCAUCUGCCUAGGAAUAAACCAUCCCAGCUGUGAGAGACCAGACGAAACCUGAGACCAGAGACUCGUUUUCUUCUAAAAUGCUUUCUCCAAAAGAUUUUUAAACAGAAAAAGGGGGAAAUGUGAAAGGAAAAGAAAACUUGAGGCCCCCAAAAUCACUAAGCUAAAAGGAAAAGUCAAGCUGGGAAUGGCUUAGGGCAAACCUGCCUCCCAUUCUAUGCAAAGUCAUCCCUCCGUGCACUGAGAUAAAUGCUUAUCUAAUUGCCUCCUUUGGAGAGGCUCAUCAG
ensembl:lncRNA SDHAP4 SDHA pseudogene 4